GUGAUGGGAUGUUCCAUGUGACGGGUGACGGGAUGUUCCGUGUGAGUGGGUGAUGGGAUGUUCCAUGUGACGGGUGACGGGAUGUUCCGUGUUACAGGUGAUGGGAUGUUCCAUGUGACGGGUGAUGGGAUGUUCCGUGUUACAGGUGACGGGAUGUUCCGUGUGACAGGUGAUGGGAUGUUCCAUGUGACGGGUGACGGGAUGUUCCGUGUUACAGGUGAUGGGAUGUUCCGUGUGAUGGGUGACGGGAUGUUCCGUGUUACAGGUGACGGGAUGUUCCGUGUGACAGGUGAUGGGAUGUUCCGUGUGACGGGUGAGAUGUUCCAUGUCAGCGGGUGACGGGAUGUUCCGUGUGAUGGGUGAGAUGUUCCGUGUGAUGGGUGAUGGGAUGUUCCGUGUGACGGGUGAUGGGAUGU
rnacentral:lncRNA from 1 species